AAGGAUUUAAGUUAAAAACAAACUUGGAACCUUCAAAGUUCCCAAUAAAGCUUCUUUAAGCCUUA
rnacentral:tRNA from 1 species